ACUGGUGGCGAAUCCUUAUGCGUCUGCAGCAACCUCAAUUCUUGCCUCCUCAGAAGAAAGAAUUUGACUGAGGGGCAUAAAGGCAGAAGGAGAGACUGAGCUGGUUAAAUCUGAAGAUGCGGAACCCACAGGUAUCAUUUGACAACAACGAAGUAACAUCACAUUCAUAUUUAAUUCCUGUGAAUUUACUUGUACAAGUGUGGGCAUACGAGCGAGAGCGCUGCUUGUUGUUUUGCUCCCUGGACCUGUACCCUGAAGUAAGAUGUGAACUGAGACCUUUGGAGAGGAGCAUCAGGCUGUGAAAAGUGUGAUUCUAUUGUUUAAAGAUUGCUAUUUUUUAUAUGACAGGGCCCUAAAUGCUAAUGACUUCAAGUGGUGUUCAAAUGAAAAAACAAUCGAGGGUAAUUUUGAGUUUUUCUUUUGUC